rnacentral:rRNA from 1 species
AGAGUUUGAUCCUGGCUCAGGACGAACGCUGGCGGCGUGCUUAACACAUGCAAGUCGAACGGUAAGGCCUGCUUCGGCGGGUACGCUAGUGGCGAACGGGUGAGUAACGCGUAAUGAACGUGCCCUUGACUUCCGUAUAGCUCUUGGAAACAGGUGGUAAUCCCGAAUAUGAGCUCAGCAGGCAUCUGUUGGGUUGGAAAGCUUUAUGCGGUCAAGGAUCGUCUCGCGGCCUAUCAGCUUGUUGGUGGGGUAAUGGCCUACCAAGGCGUCGACGGGUAGCCGGCCUGAGAGGGUGACCGGCCACAUUGGGACUGAGAUACGGCCCAGACUCCUACGGGAGGCAGCAGUGGGGAAUAUUGCACAAUGGGCGAAAGCCUGAUGCAGCAACGCCGCGUGCGGGAUGACGGCCUUCGGGUUGUAAACCGCUUUCAUCCAUGACGAAGCGAAAGUGACGGUAGUGGGAGAAGAAGCACCGGCUAACUACGUGCCAGCAGCCGCGGUGAUACGUAGGGUGCGAGCGUUGUCCGGAAUUAUUGGGCGUAAAGAGCUUGUAGGCGGUUGAUUGCCUCCGAAGUGAAAUCCCAGGGCUUAACUCGGGGCUUGCUUUCUAUACGGGUCGACUUGACGAAUGUAGGGAAGAAUGGUACUCUCGGUGGAGCGGUGGAAUGCGCAUAUAUCGGGAAGAACACCAGUGGAGAAGGCGGUUCUCUGGACUUUUCCUGACCCUGAAAAACAAAUGCGUGAGGAGCAAAGAGGCUUAAACACCGUGGUACUCCACGCCAUAAACGGAGGGUACGAGGUGGGGGUCCCAUUUCCACGGGAUCCGUGCCUAACCUAACACAUUAACUACCCGGCCUGGGGGUUCCGCCCCAAGGCUAAAACUCAAAGGAAUUGACGGGGCCCCGCACAAGCGGCGGAGCAUGCGGAUUAAUUCGAUGCAACGCGAAGAACCUUACCUGGGUUUGACAUGUACUGGAAGCAUCCAGAGAUGGGUGUGCCUUCUUGGCUGGUACACAGGUGGUGCAUGGCUGUCGUCAGCUCGUGUCGUGAGAUGAUGGGUUAAGUCCCGCAACGAGCGCAACCAUCGUCCAAUGUUGCCAGCAGUUCGGCUGGGGACUCAUUGGAGACCGCCGGGGCCAACUCGGAGGAAGGUGGGGAUGAGGUCAAGUCAUCAUGCCCCUUAUGUCCAGGGCUUCACGCAUGCUACAAUGGCCGGUACAAAGAGUUGCGAGCCUGUGAGGGUGAGCGAAUCUCAGAAAGCCGCUCUCAGUUCGGAUUGGGCUCUGCAACUCGACCCCACGAAGUCGGAGUCGCUAGUAAUCGCAGAUAAGCACCGCUGCGGUGAAUACGUUCCCGGGGCUUGUACACACCGCCCGUCAAGUCAUGAAAGUCGGUAACACCCGAAGAACGGUGGCCCAACCUUUUGGGGGGAGCAGUCGAAGGUGGGACUGAUAAUUAGGAAUAAGUCGUAACAAGGUAGCCG